rnacentral:rRNA from 1 species
UACGGAGGGUGCGAGCGUUGUCCGGAAUCACUGGGCGUAAAGCGCACGUAGGCGGACUCUUAAGUCGGUGGUGAAAUCCUGGAGCUCAACUCCAGAACUGCCUCCGAUACUGGGAGCCUUCGAGUCCGGGAGAGGUGAGUGGAACUCCGAGUGUAGAGGUGAAAUUCGUAGAUAUUCGGAAGAACACCAGUGGCGAAGGCGGCUCACUGGCCCGGUACUGACGCUGAGGUGCGAAAGCGUGGGGAGCAAACAGG